CAGUAGCCGCGGUAAUACGUAGGUCCCGAGCGUUGUCCGGAUUUAUUGGGCGUAAAGCGAGCGCAGGCGGUUAGAUAAGUCUGAAGUUAAAGGCUGUGGCUUAACCAUAGUACGCUUUGGAAACUGUUUAACUUGAGUGCAAGAGGGGAGAGUGGAAUUCCACGUGUAGCGGUGAAAUGCGUAGAUAUAUGGAGGAACACCGGUGGCGAAAGCGGCUCUCUGGCUUGUAACUGACGCUGAGGCUCGAAAGCGUGGGGAGCAAACAGGAUUAGAUACCCCCGUAGUCCCUGUCUCUUAUACA
rnacentral:rRNA from 1 species